CCAGUAGCGGCGAGUGAAGCGGCAAGAGCUCAGAUUUGAAAUCGUGUUUCGGCACGAGUUGUAGAGUGUAGGCGGGAGUCUCUGUGGAGCGCGGUGUCCAAGUCCCUUGGAACAGGGUGCCUGAGAGGGUGAGAGCCCCGUAGGGUGCUGCGCGAAGCUUUUGAGGCCCUGCUGACGAGUCGAGUUGUUUGGGAAUGCAGCUCCAAGCGGGUGGUAAAUUCCAUCUAAGGCUAAAUAUUGGCGAGAGACCGAUAGCGAACAAGUACUGUGAAGGAAAGAUGAAAAGCACUUUGAAAAGAGAGUGAAACAGCACGUGAAAUUGUUGAAAGGGAAGGGUAUUGGGCUCGACAUGGGGGGUGCGCACCGCUGUCUCUUGUAGGCGGCGCUCUGGGCGCCCUCUGGGCCAGCAUCGGUUCCUGCUGCGGGAGAAGGGGCUCCGGAAAGUGGCUCUUCGGAGUGUUAUAGCCGGGGCCAGAUGCCGCGUGUGGGGACCGAGGACUGCGGCUUCUGUCUCGGAUGCUGGCAUAACGGCGCAAUACCGCCCGUCUUAA
rnacentral:rRNA from 1 species